UACGGAGGAUGCGAGCGUUAUCCGGAUUUAUUGGGUUUAAAGGGUGCGUAGGCGGACUGUCAAGUCAGCGGUAAAAUUGAGAGGCUCAACCUCUUCCCGCCGUUGAAACUGGUGGUCUUGAGUGGAUGAGAAGUACGCGGAAUGCGUGGUGUAGCGGUGAAAUGCAUAGAUAUCACGCAGAACUCCGAUUGCGAAGGCAGCGUACCGGCAUCCAACUGACGCUGAGGCACGAAAGCGUGAGGAUCAAACAGG
rnacentral:rRNA from 1 species